rnacentral:misc_RNA from 1 species
CCGGGUGCAAUUCCACCAGAUAACGCGCCACGUCAGCACG